rnacentral:tRNA from 1 species
GGAGAGAUGGCUGAGCGGUCGAAAGCGGCGGUCUUGAAAACCGUUGUCCCUUUCCGGGACCGGGGGUUCGAAUCCCUCUCUCUCCG